CCUACGGGCGGCAGCAGUGGGGAAUAUUGCACAAUGGGGGAAACCCUGAUGCAGCGACGCCGCGUGAGUGAAGAAGUAUUUCGGUACGUAAAGCUCUAUCAGCAGGGAAGAAAAUGACGGUACCUGACUAAGAAGCCCCGGCUAACUACGUGCCAGCAGCCGCGGUAAUACGUAGGGGGCAAGCGUUAUCCGGAUUUACUGGGUGUAAAGGGAGCGUAGACGGCAGCGCAAGUCUGGAGUGAAAUCCCAUGGCUUAACCAUGGAACUGCUUUGGAAACUGUGCAGCUUGAGUGCGCGAGAAGUAUGCGGAAUGCGUGGUGUAGCGGUGAAAUGCAUAGAUAUCACGCAGAACUCCGAUUGCGAAGGCAGCAUACCGGCGCGCAACUGACGCUCAUGCACGAAAGCGUGGGUAUCAAACAGGAUUAGAUACCCCUGUAGUC
rnacentral:rRNA from 1 species